rnacentral:rRNA from 1 species
UCUGGGUCGUACGGCCGCAUGCUGUACUUGUGCUGUCUGCUCUAACGGGUAGAUAUGCACAAGUCAGUGUAGUGGUUGUGCAGCCUUUCUGCCGUGUCUGUGAAAACGGGUCUGUCUGGUUCGGUGGGUUUAUCCUGUUGGCCAGGCGGCAUGCUCUCAGAUGCCUUUAACACGGUGUCGGGGGCGGACGGCACGUUUACUUUGAACAAAUUUGAGUGCUCAAAGCAGCCAAUGCGCCUGAAAAUUCUUGCAUGGAAUAAUGGAAUAGGACUUCGGUCUAUUUUGUUGGUUUCGGAUCCGAAGUAAUGG